GGGUGAUUAGCUUAAGUUGACUUUUAAUCAAUUAGUCGCAGGUUCGAAUCCUGCACGACCCACCA
rnacentral:tRNA from 1 species